ensembl:snRNA U6 U6 spliceosomal RNA
GUGCUCGCUUCGGCAGCGCAUCUACUAAAAUUGGAACAAUACAGAGGAGAUGAGUGUGGCCCCUGCGCAAGGACGACACGCAAAUUUGUGAAGCAUUUCAUAUUUUU